CAAAGGCAGCGGUCCUGUGAAUUCUAUGCUCUAGCUUGGGUUAAGGGAUUUGGAAUUGCACUUGUUUCAGAGAGCUCCCUCUUUGCCCACUAGCAGGGCAUUAGCUGGUGCUGAAGACAGUGGCUGCUUGGCGAGCCUGGAUCUCCAAGUGACCCCCUCAGCAACUCCUGAUGAACAGGGACUUGCACUUAGGAAUCUGUUACAGUGAGCACAGAAGCAGACCUGUGGGCUCAUAGUCUUCACCCCCCACCCAUAUAUACAAGAUGAACAGAGUGGAGGUUAAACAACUUGACUAAACAACACAGUUCAUGGUAAAGCCCAAGACUGUACCUGCCCAUCCACUGCCUUUUCCAUGUAUCCUGGAACUGAGCAUAGACCUCUUCCCAGGCAGAGCUGACAGCAAGUAAAGGAGAUCAUAAUCAGGGGACCAAACAACUUUGUCUAAAGUGUGAAUGUCACCUAAGGAGAAGCUGUGAGAUCAGAAGGGUGGGGCAGAGGAGCAGACACCAUGAGGGAGAGUCCUUGGGGGUACAUCUGCCAGACUGACACUGUCUGGCCUGGGCAGUGGAGGGGCUAGCAGGAACCACAGGUACUGGUGGUGUGGCUACUACCGUUACAACUGCCUGUGCUUGGACAUGGACCCUCUGCAAUAUGCGGCAGUUUCAUUCAUUGCCCCCUACAUUCUACACCAAGUAGAAAUGGAAGGCAAUUGGAUACUUCACAGACAAGAUCUAAGUGGAGAAGGAAUGCGUCCUGUGGCUGCAGAGAUCCUUGGAGCUUGGAGGGGAGAGCUUGAGCCCCACUGAUGAUGACCUCCCACAGCUCGCCAACUCAGCCCUCCCUAAGUCCCCAUCGGGGGCCAAUUCUCACUCUGGGGUUGGGGGGACUCCACCAUAGCUCAUCCAUCAUAGGGAUGUUGGUAUCUACUGUGGGUUGGGUAGGGCCGAUGUGCUGAGGAUGGCUCCCCCACAAGCAAGAGAUGUGGAUUUGGGGAGCUUCCCAUCUUGUGUUGAAGGAACAUAACUCAGAAUAAUAAGAGCCAACUAUAACAAACCCACAGCCAACAUCAUACUGAAUGGGCAAAAGCUGCAGGCAUUCCCCUUGAAAAGUGGCACAGGAUAAGGAAGCCCUUUCUCACCACUCCUAUUCAAUAUAGUGUUGAAAGUCCUGAUCACAGCAGUCAGGCAACAGAAAUAAUAAAGGGCAUCCAAAUAGGAAGAGAGGAAGUCAAACUAUCCUUGUUUGCAGACAGUAUGAUUCUAUAUCUAGAAAACCCCAUAGCCUCAGCCCAAAAGGUCCUUCAUCUGAUAAUUUCAGCAAAGUUUCAGGAGACAAAAUCAGUGUACAAAAAUCACUAACAUUCCUAUACACAGUCGCCAAGCCAAGAGCCAAAUCAGGAGCACAAUCCCAUUCAUAAUUGCCACAAAAAAGAAUAAAAUACCCAGGAAUGCAGCUAACCAAGGAAGUAAAGGAUCUCUACAAUGAGAAUCACAAACGCUGCUCAAAGAAAUCAGAGAUGACACAAACAAAUGGAAAAACUUUCCAUGCUCAUGGCUAGGAAGAAUCAAUAUCAUUAAAGUGGCCAUACUACCCAAAGCAAUUUAUAGAUUCAAUGCUAUUCCUAUCAAACUAUCAAUUACAUUUUUCACAGAACUAGAAAAAACUUAAAAUUCAUAUGGAACCAAAAAGCCUGAGUAGUCAAGGCAAUCCUAAACAAAAAGAACAAAGGUGGAGGCAUCACAUUACCUAACUUCAAACUACAGGGCUACCAUGACCAAAACAGCAUGGUACUGGUACAAAAGCAGACACACAGACCAGUGGGACAGAAUAGAGAGCCCAAAAAUAAGGCCACAAACCUACAGCCAUCUGAUCUUCAACAAAGUUGACAAAAACAAGCAAUGGGGAAAGGUCUCCCUAUUCAAUAAAUGGUGCUGGGAUAACUGGCUGGCCAUAUGCAGAAGAUCGUAACUGGACCCCUUUUACUAUGUACAAAAAUUAAGAUGGUUUAAAGAGUUAAAACCCAAAAUUAUAAAAAUCCUGAAGAUAACUUAGGCAAUACCAUUC
rnacentral:lncRNA from 1 species